rnacentral:tRNA from 1 species
AGCCCUGGGGUGUACAGCACGUCAGAUUGCAAAUCUGAAGGAGCGGGCUAACUGCCUGCCGGGGCUU